AAAUGAUUUUUAUUUUGUCAUGGCACUGUUAAAGGCUGUCCAAGGGUACAUCCUUAAAACCAGAGGCUCUCCUCUCACAACCAGUUACAAACAUUAACAUGUGAGAACAUCAUGUUAUCACACACUGCUCACCUGAAAGACCCAUCCUAUCCACCAUUUUUCUGCUCUGAUUCUAAAUUUUCCUGUAAGUCUGAGAUCUGAGCUCAUGGAGGGGUUACAGAAGCAGAGUCCAGGUUAGGCAGUGAGAGAGGACAGUGGCAAACUUGUGGUUGACUGUGUCCAAAAGAGUAGAGAUGGAUGCACAGUGUUAAAAUAAUUAAAAUACAAAAGCAAAUUUAUCUGAAAGUAAAUAGGUGGCAGCCAGCACUAAUUUUCUUUUACAAUUAGCACAUCCACUAGCUUUUAAUGCUUGUUCCACACAGAAGAGCUUCUGCUUUCAUCUCAACACUGACACUAGGAGCCAUAACUUAUGUACAACAACAGGAAAAGUGUUGUUAAUGCAGUCAUAAAAAAGUCUCUGCACCGAAGUAGUCUGCUGAUAGCCUCUGCUGACCUUUUACUUCCUGAGAACACUGGUUGCUGGGAAAGGAGUGGGCAGCAGACAGGCCUCCUGGCUGGCUCAGAGGUGUCCUUCUCCCUGAGGCUCUGCAUACAGCUCCUGGAUAGAAUCCACGUGUGCCCUUCCUCAGAGCAGCCCACCAGCUCUCACCAUAUCGCUCCCUCCAGUUUUAUUUUAGCCCCCAGCAGAGAGAAGGUAAAGAAAGAUUCCAUUCACGUAGUUUCUUCUUUGCUCACCUAGAAAAAUCACCCCAACCACCUCCCCAUAACAAAACAAGCCUUUUGUGUUUGUACACUAAUCAAGUCUAGAGAUGGUUUAGCACUACUUCCCCAUCACAGCACGCAACACUGGGAUGGGAAGCCAUUUGCACAUUCUUGGAUCAUAACUCCAUCUCCACAAGCAUUCUUAAGGCACAUAUAUGAUCUGCUGUCUGCCUGCAAGUCCUCCCUAUCUGCAAGGAUGACAUCGUGUCUAAUUAUUUGUCUGCUAUUGAUUUUUCCACUGCACUAUCACAGACUGGAAGCAAGAGGCAGAAGCAACUAAUUUCCAGCAGUGGAGUGUCCCUGGAGGAGGUGGGGCUGGCUUCCUUGCAUCACUUAGCUCAUCAAAUAAGCAUGCCUAAGAGAAGAACACUGCCAGCUGCCACUGCAAGGUGCUCACGUAACAUACUGGGGGAAAAGGGGUAGGAGUACAGGUGGAGCAGAAUAGAAAUUAACAGUAAUGCAGCAAACACAGCUAAGGUCUCACUGUGUUUUAGUAACAGAAAAUGAGUACAAAGCAGAGAAUGAGUAAUGAUUUUGGACAAAGCCAACAGGCGCCUUAGGGGAUUCUGAAAUUAAUCCUGUGACAUUUCCAGCAGCUAGCCUGGAAAGCCCAGUAAGUGACAGAAAGCACUGUGUGGCAGAGCAUGUUCAGCAUCCUGCCAGAGCAGGCCUCUCCUCCCAUUUGCACGCAAAGAAAAAAAAAAAAUUAAUCAAUACUCUCUUAUUUUUUUUCAAGAAAACGGCUACAAAAAUUUGUUAAUAAAAUUAGAGACUAGGCAACCCCUUUGAAUGUCCACAAAUCAGUGAGAGAAACUAUUCUGUCAGGUCAUAAACAGCAGGGAGGGAGGGAGGGAAAGCAUCAGCAGGAAGGCAAAGGAUUCCUAUACCUUUAACACAGACUAACCUUAAGGAAAUGUAGUUGUGAUUAUUACUUAUAAUGAAAGAAAGCACCUUUGAAAAAAGAAGAGUUUGCAAUAUAUUUCAAAUGUAGAAAAAGAAAACAAACAAACCUGAAGCUACCAAAGAGUGCAUGUUCUGAGCAGACAGUCCCACAGCACAGAUACAAGCAGGAGCUGGUUGUCUCCAAGGUGCAGUUAGGUUGUAGACUAAGGCAGACUGCAGCUGACAACCAUUACAGAUCACAGUCUGGAAGUGUGUUUUGAUCAAGGAUUUCUCAGGCACAGCCCAAUUGACUGCAAUCUCAGGUUCAGCUGGCUCCAGUAACUCCUUGUGAUCAUGAGCAACUUUCUUCUGAGCUUGGUUAUUUUGUCUUAGCAGAUGUCAGUGCAUAUGCAUCGCUCCACUGGGAAAUCCUGCACUCUGAAGACCAAAGUUUAAAGUUAAGAUGUUUCCACUGAGGUCACUUGGGAUGAUGAAUUCUCUGCAGUGAGAUCUCUGCCUGAGACCUUUGUCUCAGCAGAUGCUGGGAAAGAACCUGUGUAUGCUCCUGACACCUCAGCCUCCUUCAUGUAAGUCAUGAGAUGCAGCUGUGAGUUCUUUUCUGGAAUUUAUAAAGAGAUUACAGGCUAUUUUGCUACCUUCUGCAAGCUUCAUGACUGUAUGGGAUGAAAACAAUAGACAUAACUAAGAAAUACAUGUGCAGCCAGGUGUAGCUAGGACCGUCUGAUGAUUUUUAUUUUGUGGCACGGAGAGACACAGCCCACAAUAGCCUUACCAUUGCAAACUUCAGCUAUGGGGAAGUGCUUGGUGCAAGCUGCAUCUUCUGCAUGUAGCCCAGUGUUGAAGUACACCUGCAUGACAAUAGGUGAACACGUGUAAGUAAUUCAGUCAUCUCACUGAGGUAAUGGUAGUCACUGGUGCUGAAGUAAAGUUAAAGUCAGAUCCUUGAAUGACCACGACAAAGGCAUUUUGAGUCUGACUGGGGAGGAACUAAGCAGGAGCUGGCUGUAACUGCUGCACGUUUCUGCAUCCAGCUCAGUGUGAGGAAGCCAUGCAGCACAGACACACAGCCCACAGGGGCUCAACUGGAACAUGCCAGCCCUGACUGUCAGCAGGGAUGCUUCCAGCCUCUGUAACAUUGCCGUGUCCCUUAUCCAUGUAAGUUGCAGGUAUCCGUGUAUCCAUGUAAGUACAGUCAUGCAAUUCACACACCAAAGCAGAAAUAAGCACAACUGCAUAUGACAUCAGAUUUUCCUUCUCUGUUUCCCUGUUGGAUGAGGAGGCUCACAAGUCCCCCUUGCACUUCCACACAAUGGGAACCCCCAAGACACCUUGACAGCAGCCAGAGGAAAAUGCAGCACACUUACAAAGCACAGUGCACUCACUGCACAAAUACUGCAAAGCAAACCCCCCACAUGUUAGAAACCACAAGCAAGGCACAGACUGUACAAAAACUGACAGGCAUGAGCUUAGCUGAAGGGAGGGCAGUAGGGAAGAGGAAGAAAACAAAUAGGAAAUGCCAUACUCAAAAGAAUUCAGCAUAAACUCUGAGCAAAUCAAAGCAAGGAAAAACUUCUGAACCCACUUGAAUUUUAGCUGCCGAAGCCUCCUGGCUACUUGGCUGCUCUGCCUGUGCAUUUCUGUGCUUAAUUUGCCCCACUGGAUUUGCACCUCCUGUGAGUGACUGAGAGGAGCCAUUGACUCAGGGAGGACUGAUUUAGUGCAGCAGGAACCAGCGGCCUGGCAGAGGCUGCGGGAGAGGCCCAGCCCAAGGUAGGUAAACACUGUCGUGGUUUAACCCGGCAGGCAGCUGAGCACCACAGAGCUGCUCAUGGACUGCAGCGGGCUGGGGGAGGGAAUUGGGAACAACAGUACAAUCCAUGGGUUUAGAUAAAGACAGUUUAAUAGAACAGAAAAGGAUGCAAAGUAAUAGUAAUAGUAAAAGUCAAAAGGAACAUACAAAAGAAGUGAUGCCCAAUGCAAUUUCCCACCAUCCCCUGACCAGUGUCCAGCCAGUUCCCAAGCAGUGGCCCCUGGCCAGCUUCCCCCUAAUUUACAUACUGACCAUGUGUCAUAUGAUACAGAAUAUCCCUUUGGCCAGUUGGGAUCAGCUGUCCCUGCUGUGUCUUCUCCCAGCUUCUUGUGCUUCCCAGCCCUGUUGGUGGGGUGGGGAGUGGAGCUGAAAAGUCCUCAACUUAGUCCAAGCACUGCUCAGCAACAACUGAAACAGUGUGCUAUCCACAGCCUUCUCAUCCUAAAUUCAAAUCACAGCAACGUACCAGCUACUAGGAAGAAAAUUAUCCCAGCCAAAAUCAGGACAUAGCAGAAGAGGGAAGGAUGUGGUGAAAAGACUGGAACAGCAAAAAAGAGAAGAAAAGGUAGGAGAGCUGGAAGAAACACACAUCAAUGGAUCGGCAAAAGAGAAAGAGGAAAUUAAACACAAUACAGAAGAGGGCUGGAUGCUGGAUUUAGUAAGAUUUUUCUCCAGAGUCCACAUGGUUGUAAACUUCUGGUGUACUCCAGUUUGGGGCUGGAUACUUACUGCCAGUGGGAGCACCCGAGGAGCCUCUGUCCCACACAACCUUUCUUGCUGCUCCAUGGUCCCUGUGUACAGCUAUGAAGAACUGUUGCUGGGUGGAGGGAAAUUAAGCCAGUUAUUUUUUCUUGAUUUGUUUCUCUGGAAAGUCCUUUCUCUGGAGAGACACAGGCCUGUGAAAAUGACAGGAUAUACUCAGUAAAUCUGUAAUAGCUGCUAUGUCAGCCAACAGCAUCAAAUUCCUGCUUUGCAUCAGCCAAGGUCCCAGUGAUUCCCUACAGCACGAAAAGUGAGAAACCAGUGCUCUUUGUGACAUGGAGCAGGGGCAAACAAAAUCUGAAACAGGAAGAUACCCCAAACUUCUUCCUGUUCCUGACGUACGUCCAGGAUAUGUAGGCACAGCCUGGAGUGCAAAUGCUGGGUCAUGGUUUGAGACAAGGAAUUGUGUGCAGGGAAAGGGUCACAGUCUAACCUGAACUCCAAACAAACUCAACCUAUCUCAAGUGUUGUCAACUACUUGAAAUUCAGGACAGGUUUGUUUGAAGGUUCUUCGAAGCUUUUGAAGUGACCUUUUCUUGAGCAAAUGUAGGUUCAGUUAGUUUCCCAUUAAAGUUAUAUGAAUGUGUGGUAAGACAUGAAACCAAGUGAGAAAAGGCACUAUUCAUUGACUUUUCCUGUGGCAUUUGCUGAAUGUUGUGAAAGUCAUAGAUGAAAGAAAAAUGCUCAGUGCAUGUCCUUAAAUUAAAUGUAAUUAAACAAACAAGUGUUUGCAUAAAUCCCUGAAAAGCAAAACUGGCCAAUUUACACACACAAUAGUGUGUUAGCUUCUUCUUUUUCAAAAAUUUUUAAAUUUUUGAAAAUUUUCAUUAAUUAAGGUGUUGAAUCACAAGCAGUUUCCUCCUCAUUAUAAUGCUGCUGUGUAAAGAGUUAUCCUGGGAAAAAACUAGCAGUCAGAUUCCCCAUCUAAAAAAGCACUUUGGAUUUUUAAAACUAAAGUACCACAGAAAAACUCAUACACCUGUAAAACUAAGAGAAAACCAGCAUAGUGGACAGCUUGAAGUCUAGAGCCCUGCUCCUCCUUGUCACAAGCUGGGGCUCAGCUAAAUCAGUAUAAUGGAGAGUCAUUACUGCCAUAACUGGCAGCCAUCAAAGCUUCCUGGAAGUCUCUCUCCAAUUCUUGAUGGACACACAAAAUUAUUUCUGUCAUCAGAAAUGGCACUGCAUAGUACAUUUGGCAGUCUCCAGAGAGCUGCAUUAUCAGUAAGGACUGGUUUUCCCUCUCAGCUGUUGUUUUUUCUGGCCAAAUUUUGAGGCAUAGAAGUAAUGAACAAAACCACUGCCGCUUUCUGAAGCGCAAGUUCUGGGCAAAGUGUUCCUGGAGCUUUCAUCCUAACACCUUUCCCAAGUCCCCAAACCACCUCAAAGUAAAACGUCAAGUCAAAUUACUUGAAUGAAAAGAAAACAAGAGCCAGGGAUCCUCAGAAAAAUGGGAAGCUGGACAGGACAAACGCAGAUCUGAACCAAUGUGGUUAAUCAAACGUUCUCCCUUUAU
ensembl:lncRNA